GCGCCUGUAGCUCAAUUGGAUAGAGCGAGGCUCUCCUAAGGCCUAGGUUGACCGUUCGAUUCGGUCCAGGCGCA
rnacentral:tRNA from 3 species